AGAACCUUUUAUUAACACAACAAUGAUAUUUUAAAAAGGAAGAAUAAUAAUUUCCAAGAAAAAGUACAGGAAUUUAUUUUAUGUCUUUUUGAAUUUAGACAGAGAAUUAUUUCAUAGACAUCAUUUAGACAAAGUUAGACUGGCCUGAAUUUAACUGCAGGUCCUGAGACUUAUUAUUAAGGUCAUAUUUGCCAAUGUCUGGUGAGAAAUAGACUGGGAAGAUGAAAAGCAUCAAAAGAUUUCUAAGGGCUACCAAGAUUAUUGAGGGGAUACUGAAGAACAUGUUUUUUAUUUAAAUAUUUCCUAGGACUGACCUUCACUCUUUUUUCAGUGAAUCUACCAUUAAAAAGGAAGAAUCUGUGGCCAUCCUGGAAAUAAACAGAGUGACAUGGUGACAAUUGUGGAUCCUCUCCUUUGGGAUAAUGCACUGUGUAUCCCAUUGCAAGUGCUUCUCAGACAUCAGUGCAACGACCUCUUCAGUAAUCUGACCUAAAAUGUAAGAGACUUGAGAGCAAAGAUCAUGUUUUGUUCAUUAUUUUACUCCUAGUACCUAGGACAGUCCCCACCAGCAAAUGCCUGUUCAGUGAUGGAUAUGCUAAAAUCUCCUUUAUUAUAGAUGCAUUUAUUUCAUGGAAAAA
rnacentral:lncRNA from 10 species